rnacentral:rRNA from 1 species
UACGAAGGGUGCUAGCGUUGUUCGGAAUCACUGGGCGGAAAGCGCACGUAGGCGGAUGUGUCAGUCAGGGGUGAAAUCCCGGAGCUCAACUUCGGAACUGCCCUUGAUACAGCACGUCUUGAGUCCGGAAGAGGUGGGUGGAAUUCCUAGUGUAGAGGUGAAAUUCGUAGAUAUUAGGAAGAACACCGGUGGCGAAGGCGGCCCACUGGUCCGGUACUGACGCUGAGGUGCGAAAGCGUGGGGAGCAAACAGG